rnacentral:rRNA from 1 species
ACUCCUACGGGAGGCAGCAGUGGGAAUCUUGGACAAUGGGGCAACCCUGAUCCAGCCAUGCCGCGUGAGUGAUGAAGGCCUUAGGGUCGUAAAGCUCUUUCGCCNGUGAAGAUAAUGACGGUAGCAGGUAAAGAAACCCCGGCUAACNCCGUGCCAGCAGCCGCGGUAAUACGGAGGGGUUAGCGUUGUUCGGAAUUACUGGGCGUAAAGCGCACGUAGGCGGAUCGGAAAGUUGGGGGUGAAAUCCCGGGGCUCAAACCCCGGAACGGCCUCCAAAACUAUCGGUCUAGAAGUUCGAGAGAGGUGAGUGGAAUUCCGAGUGUAGAGGUGAAAUUCGUAGAUAUUCGGAGGAACACCAGUGGCGAAGGCGGCUCACUGGCUCGAUACUGACGCUGAGGUGCGAAAGUGUGGGGAGCAAACAGGAUUAGAUACCCUGGUAGGCUCUGC